UCGUGGUGUAACGGUAGCACACUCGGCGCGUAUUCGAGAGGUCCAGGUUCAAAUCCCGGCGA
rnacentral:tRNA from 1 species